rnacentral:lncRNA from 1 species
GUGAAGUUGCUACUCCCGACCUUUCUUCCGCUGGCACUUGGCCACCCCAGCUCCCUCCGGGUUGGACGGUCGAGUGGGAUCCCUCCUCGGAUGGCGAGGAGAGGGAUCAGUGAUGUCCCAGCUGGCCUCACCAGGGAUGUCCGACCCCGACGCUUUGCUUCCGCUAGUGGUUUUACGUUCUGUUGUUUUUCUUGAAACCUUGUAAAACUCUAUUGUUUAUUUCAUAACCAAACUAAGUGGUUAAGUUGUUAACUCGGUGGACUUGUUGUAUUCUCUGGAACCGCUCACCUUCGUGUGGGUUUGCUAAAAUGGUCCUGUUGAAGUGGUUGAAUCGGAAGAAAUCCGACGGCACUUCGUGUUUACUCGGCUUAGGCAUGAACGUCGCGUAUCAUGCGGCUCAAUCAUGUUUAAUCAAGUAGAUCCGAAGUGGAUCCGCCACAGCUGGUACCAGAGCAGGUUUAGUGAUACAGAGAACACAACAAGCCCUAACACUUCUUUGAAAAGAUAAAAGUUGCAAGAAACUCUUUGAAAAAUCUCGUACGAUCAUUAAGGAUGACUUUAGUGCAAGAGGCCCUAGGGGAUUUUGGGGUCGUUUUAGGUGGCUAGUAUUUUAUUUGGUUAUCUUGCUAACCCUUCAAGCACUUCGCCACGUUUAUCACGAGUAUGCGAGGGUUGAUAGGGAGUUCUGUUCAAAGGACCCUAUCAUCGUGGUUGUUUUCGCCCACGUCUAUCAUACGUGCGCAGGUUCCGUAUGUAAUCCAUACGAAGGUUGGUACGGUUCAAUUCCAACGAGCCUAUCAUCACGGUUGUUCGCCACGUCUAUUAUACGUGUGCUGAUUCUGCAUUGCGAGUAUGCGAAGGGUUAUACGGUUCCAUUCAAAGGGAACCUAUUUCCACGGUUGAGUGCUGUCCAUGCAGCUUAAACGCAUGGGUGCCGUUCCUAUAGUGAGCGGUAAUGUUUGGGAACGCUUUCGUGGGUGCUGGCACGAAAGGUUCAUGUGGUGGUGUUUUCUGCAGGUACACUAACCGCGUUCGCUUAGGAGGCGUUGCUAGAACCGACUAGCUAUUAUAGGGAGAGACGUACUUGUUGCCUUGCCACCGGCACUGACCGCGUAAGACCCAAGUUUCGGGCAGUUGUUUUGGUUAAGAGUGAGGUAGGCCGUGCAUGCGUCAUAAGCUAAAAUCUGUAAAGUCUUUCUCCUCAAAAGCAACCUUGCUCGGAAAAGCUCUUCUUUGGUUUUAAGGAUUUCUAGUUUCUUCCAGUUGCUCUCGGUUACAACCGAAUGCUUCUCUAUCCGACCCCUGACCUUUGGAGUUUCUCUCACGUGAUUUUGGUUUCUUGGUUCCAGAUGGCCGUCCCCGGACACGUUCUGUUUGGAGCGGAUGGUACCUUCCAGUCAACCUGUCUACACUUCGAGGGCUUCCCCGCGAUUUUGUGGGACACCUUGAAAUGGUUCGGGUACCAGUCCCCACCAUUAUACGCAGGACGACUGUACCUGGAGCAGGGCAUCCAGACAUGCAACGUACAGGCGGUGGUACCUCCUCCUCCUGUGCGGCCCGACUGGCUCUCCUUCGGGAUAUCAGCCUAUGGUCUUGCUCCAGAGGACACUUGGGAGUCCGCCGCUCUCCAGCUCCUUACCCAGUUUUGUCAGCUGCACCCCCUGGAGGUCACACUAGACCCUAUCAGCCUGUUCCCCGCCAGGAACCUGUUGGAUCCAGCGUGGCUCGACCGCGUCGGAAAUAUCGAGGUGCUAGCCACUACCUACUCCAUGGUCACCAUCUCCACCAACGUCAGAUGUAUGACAGCCCUCUAUCGGCUGAUCGAGCUCCAAGGAAGAGCCAUGACCAUCCUUGCCCAGACCGCAGUGGAUGCUCAAGGACACCUCCAGGCAGCCAGGAGAGACAUGGUAGGCCAAACCUACCAGCUUAUCCAAUGAGGCAUUCAGAUACAUGACAUGCAAGACAGGAUCUCCGAGCUCGAAGGAGAAGUAGCCGACCUGGUGGACGGCAUGAUCGAGCUGUCAGAGGAGAAAAUGGAAAUAGAAAUGGAGGUGGUGGUUGCCAAUGCUCACCUGGACGAGCAUCAAGCUGAGCUUGACGAUAUGCAUGCCCUCCAUAUGCAACUAGAAGCUCAAGAGGACCCUGAGGAGGAUGAGGGAGCGUCCAGUAUGGACAUCGAAGAAGACGGCGCCCCUUCUCCUACUCAUAGUGUUCAUUUGUAGAUGAAGAGUGCAAGGGACUCAUUCUUUUGUUGUACUCCUCGGCAGCUUAAAUUUUGGAAAGAAUUGUAAUAGGUUAGCCUUGAGUCGAGUACUCCCUGUGUUGGAAUACCUCUGUAAAGAUCCCAAUGAAGUCAAUUCCCGAGCCUAACCUUUAACUCUUGCAAAGUGUUGGAGUGUUAGACUAAGUGAGUUGUGCCACGACCACACACGCUAUUUUCUGUGGGUCUGUUCAAGUUGGCCGACCCCGGUUCGCGAGAUCGGAUGCGCCGACCCCUCGAGGCCGUUCUCCGCCUCGCCCGACCUUUCGAGGCAGUCUCCGCCUCGCCAAACCCCUUUUUAGUGUGGAUCAUUGCCAACCCUUUUUCUCGGGAGUAUCGCCUCACCCGACCCCUUUUUAGUGUGGAUCGUUGCCGACCCUUUUUCUCGGGAGGAUCGCCUAGCCCGACCCCGUGGCUUAAGAUCGGAUUCUAGGAGUCUGGGUAGGGUAUGGUUCGCCUGAAGUUGAGUACAAGGCUAAGAUAAACGCUAACUAACCUGAUGAUGAGAAGAGUGUAUCUCCCUUAUGAGGACGUGUGUUGCAUUAUCAGCAAGAGUUGUAUUGGAGAAAUUGACUUAUGCGUUCCAUCUGUUGGAGUACUUCUAAGAUUAUAAAAUUAAUGGAACGUUAACUCUUGCAGAUGGCGCAUCGCACCAGAUCUGGUUCUGUGCCCGGCAGCAGCGAACAGAGACAGGAUCUUCCCCCACCCCCGCCCUCGUCUCCACUAGAGGCAAUCCUAGGGGCUCAAACCGAACUGCUGAGGCAUCUUGUACAAGGACAACAACAGCAGCCCCAUGGUGGAAGGGCUCAGCAGCAGCCACAUGUUGCUCGCUAUGAGGACUUUUUGGGGACGCAGCCCCCUUUGUUUUAGAAGACACAAGAACCGCUCGACGCCGACGCCUGGGUUCGUACGAUCGAAUCCAAGUUUGAGCUUCUCACCGCCCCGUGCCCCGACCAGAACAAGGCUCGGUUCGCAGCUCAAUAGCUGCGUGGCUCCGCACGGCUCUGGUGGGACCAGUACCAUGCCAUGUUGCCGGCUGGCCAUGUGGUCAGCUGGAACGAGUUCAGUUUAAAGCGCAUCACAUCCCGGAAGGUCUCCUGGAGCGCAAGCUCAACGAGUUCCUGGCUCUUACCUAGGGAACCCGAGAUGUCCUGCACUACGCCCAAGCUUUCAACGAUCUAUGCCGUUAUGCCGGCUAUCAUGCGGACACAGACGAGAAGAAGCAGGACAGAUUCCACCGAGGACUGAGCUUGGAGCUCAGAGAAAGGUUGAACCCCAUCAAGGUGGACACCUACAAUGAGUUGGUCAAUCUGGCCAUCUCUCAAGAUGAUUGCAUGCAGGCUCUCAAAGCCGACCAGAAGAGGAAGGCCUCCAUGGCAUUUCCGAGCCAGCCAACCCGAAGGUUCAGGAUGGUUCCUCCACAAGCGCGCAGCCGACCCCAGCAGUCGGGAAGGUGGAUUGCCCGACCCCCACCAGUAGCAGCGCCCCAUUUUUCCGGCUUCCAACCACAGGCGCCCCGGCCGACCCCACCAGCACCACCCCGCCCUGCAACUAGUAGCCGCUGCUUCACCUGCGGCAAUGAAGGGCAUUUUGCUAAGGACUGCCCUAGGAACAAGAAUCAGCAGCAAGGCCAGAACCCCAUGGCGAACAGAGGAAGAAGGCCCAAGGUGCAAGUUCGACAAGGCUGGCUCAACUACACCAGCUUGACCGAACUCCCCGAAGGUGCGCCAGUAAUGACGGGUACUUUCCUUGUCUUAAAUCAAGAUGUUGUUGUGUUGUUUGAUUCGGGAGCCUCUCAUAGCUUUAUCGGGAGUAAGGCUAGAGAAAGAUGUGAGCUGGAUGUCGGUCACACUAAGGAAUCCUAUGUGAUCGCCACUCCGGGAGGGAAGAUAGCCUCGGAUCAGAUCGUUACUCUUGUACCUCUCCAGCUAGGCCCAACUCUUUUCAAGGAGAAUCUUAUCAUCCUCGACCUGGAAGGAAUAGAUAUCAUCCUCGGGAUGGAUUGGAUGACCCGGCACCAAGUGGUCUUAAACCCAGCCGCUCGAACUCUUCACAUCAACUCACCCUUCCAUGGUAGUUCUACCCUAUCCUUGAAACAUCCUGAGUCCACACUCCCUUGUGCGUAGCCUCUAUCGGAAGCCCGACUAGAAAGCCUCCCUGUUGUCUGUGAGUACCCUGACGUGUUCCCCGAAGACUUGCCUGGCAUGCCACCUGAUAGAGAGGUGAAGUUUUCCAUAGAGUUGAUCCUCGGCACCGCACCUAUAUCCAAGAGACCCUAUCGGAUGCCACCUGCUGAAUUGGCCGAGUUGAAGACCUAGUUGCAUGAUCUGUUGGAAAAAGGCUUCAUCCGACCCAGCACAUCACCUUGGGGUUGUCCGCCCUGUUUGUGAAGAAGAAGGAUGGCAGUCUCCACAUGUGUGUGGACUACCGACCCCUCAAUGUUGUGACCGUCAAGAAAAAGUACCCACUGCCACGCAUUGAUGUCUUGUUUGUUCAGUUAGCUGGAGCAAAGGUGUUCUCCAAGAUCGAUCUUCAUUCAGGUUAUCACCAGAUCAAGAUCCGACCCUGCGACAUACCCAAAACAGCCUUCUCCACAAGAUAUGGACUAUACGAGUACCUGGUCAUGUCUUUUGGACUCACCAAUGCACUCGCCUAUUUCAUGUACCUCAUGAACUCGGUGUUCAUGCUCGAGCUGGACAAGUUUGUUGUGGUGUUCAUUGAUGAUAUCCUCGUGUACUCAAAGAGCGAAGAAGAACGUGCCGAUCAUCUUCAUGUAGUUCUCCAACGGCUGAGAGAUCACCAACUCUAUGCCAAGUUCUCCAAGUGUGCGUUUUGGUUAGAUAGUGUCAAGUUUUUGGGACACACUAUCUCCAAGGAUGGUAUAGCCGUUGACCCCAGUAAGGUACAGGAAGUUAUGGACUGGAAGCCUCCUGCCUCAGUGCACCAGAUCAAAAGUUUCCUUAGACUUGCAUGCUACUAUCGGCGCUUCAUACCAGAUUUCUCCAAGAUAGCUAAGCCGAUGAUAGAGUUGUUGAAGAAAGAGGUUAGGUUCGCGUGGAGCGACAAGUGUGAAGAAGCCUUCAAGACUCUGAAGCACUUGCUGACCACAGCCCCAGUUUUGGCUCAGCCCGACCCUUCUAGGCCGUUUGACAUGUACUGUGACGCCUCUGGCACUGGACUUGGGUGUGUUCUUAUGCAAGACAACCGAGUCAUUGCCUAUGCCUCACGGGCAUUACGACCUCAUGAGCUGAACUACCCGACCCAUGAUCUUGAGUUGGCAGCAGUGAUCCAUGCCUUAAAGAUAUGGAGACACUAUCUGAUGGGCACCCACUGCAACAUCUACACCGACCACAAGAGCCUCAAGUACAUCUUCACUCAAGCCGACCUCAACAUGCGCCAAAGAAGAUGGUUAGAGUUGAUAAAAGAUUAUGACUUGGAAGUUCACUAUCAUUCCGGCAAGGCCAACGUGGUGGCCGAUGCUCUUAGUCGCAAGAACUGUUGCAACUGCUUGUUGGCAACAACCUUCACCGAGACUUUGUGUCACGAGAUGGGAAAACUUAGUUUGGAAAUUGUUCCCCAUGGAACCCUCAACCACAUCACCCUUGACUCAGAUUUGGAAGACCAAAUACGGUCAGCACAAGUGGAUAAUGAGGAAGUAAAGCAGAUCAUCAGGAAGAUCUCAUUGAAGGAUGAAGGGUAUAGACAUUUUCGACAAGAUGAGACUGGGAAGGUGUAUUAUGGAAACCGACUGGUUGUACCAGCCGACCCCAACCUUAAGAAGCAGAUCUUAGAUGAAGCUCACCUCUCCAAGUUCUCAAUCCAUCCUGGCAGCAAUAAGAUGUACCAUGAUCUCCGCCAAACAUUUUGGUGGAGUGGAAUGAAGUCGGAAAUUGCCCGUUAUGUUUCAGAAUGUGAUACCUGUCAACGUGUCAAAGCCAGCCAUCUAAAGGUAGCAGGUACCCUGCAGCCCCUACCUAUUCCCUCUUGGAAAUGGGAAGACAUCAGCAUGGACUUCAUAGUUGGACUGCCCCUUACAUCACAGCGACAUGACUCCAUCUGGGUUAUAGUGGACCGCCUGACCAAGAUGCCCACUUCCUUCCUGUCCGCACCACCCACACAGUCAAGCAGUAUGCAAAGUUGUACCUCGACCGCAUAGUUUCCCUACAUGGUGUACCCAAGACCAUCAUCUCGGAUCGAGGAGUUCAGUUUGUGGCACGCUUUUGGGAACAACUAUAAGCAUCCAUGGGCACCAAGCUCAUUCGUAGCUCAACAUAUCAUCCUCAAACCGAUGGUCAAACCGAAAGAGUUAAUCAGAUCCUUGAAGACAUGUUGAGAGCUUGUGUCAUCCAUUAUGACAAAAAUUGGGACAAGUGCUUGCCCUUGGCAGAGUUCUCCUACAACAACAGCUACCAGACCAGUUUGAAGAUGGCACCGUUUGAAGCUUUAUAUGGCCAGAGAUGUUGGACACCAUUGAACUGGUCCCAAGCAGGAGAAAGACAGAUCUAUGGCCCUGACUUAGUGGCAGAAGCCGAAGAGCAAGUAAGGGUAAUUCAAGCAAAUCUCAAGGCUGCCCAAUCUCGACAAAAGAGUUAUUCCGACAGGCGAAGAAGGCCCCUACAGUUCGACAUUGGUGAUCAUGUGUAUCUUCGAGUUUCCCCGACCAAAGGAGUGCAACGGUUUGGAGUGAAAGGAAAAUUGGCUCCCCGCUACAUUGGCCCUUAUGAGAUUGUGGAGAUCUGUGGACCCGUUGCUUACCGGAUCCAACUCCCAGAACGGCUAUCGGCCAUACACGAUGUUUUCCAUGUGUCUCAACUGAAGAAAUGUGUCCAAGUUCCAACCGAGAUCUUAGAGCCAGAGCAGCUACAGAUCGAGCCCGACCUAACCUACGCCGAGUACCCAGACCGAGUUCUUGACCAGAAAGAGAGGCAUACCCGGUGCCAAAUGGUCAAAAUGUACAAGAUCCUCUGGAGGAACCACACGGAGGAUGAAGCAACAUGGGAAACAGACGAGUAUCUGAACAAGCACUUUCCAGGUUUUCUGUCUCGUCAAGGAGGUAAGAACGGCACACCCUACUUUUAUACCUGAAUCUCGGGACGAGAUUCUUUUUAAGAGGGGUAGGCUAUGACGACCGACCCCAAAUCUUCCAAGUUAAUCCUAAUCCGAGCCCCUGAUCACCUGCCUUAGCUUUCAAGCCCAAGUGAUCAACCUACAGACCGGUCUCGACGCCUGAGACCCGACCCCUCUCCGCUGGUCUCCAGUUCCGACCCCGCCGACCCCAACUCACUGUCGGAUCCUUCUAAGUCAUUCCCAACACCUCCCUUCAGUCUGACCGCUGGACCCACGAGAUCUUUUCUCCUAGAUCCCCUGCGACAAGCGCACUCGAGUUGCAUGCCCGCUUCAGAGUUUCCCCGCCGUGUGGCUCAACUUCUCCGACGCCCGCCGCUCCGUCUCGUCUCUAGCCCACGACCGAAUGGAUUCUCGCGCCCCCUUCCCCAAUCGCAGCGGAAGCCCCUCUGCAACCUUUUUGCAGUACCUCGCCACCCGCGCCCAUCAUCACAUUGCCAGAUCCCGGCCGCAGAGCCUGAUGUCGUCCGUCUUUUCCGUCACUUCGACACAGUCGCGCCACCUGGUCUUCGCUACCCGACGAUUCCUCCUCCGCCAACCCUGACCACGGCAGCAACAGCUCCUUUCCCCGCCCUGUCAGAAGCCGCCCGACAAUCUGUUGCUCCGCGCUCGCCCGCGCGCCCGCGACCGCCCGUCUUCUCACCUGUGCGCCCUCGAUUCUGGCACCGUUAACCCGGUCACUUCCAUCAACUCUACCGCACGACGUCACCCGCCUCCGCCAAAUCUCAACCACCGGCAUACCCGCUCCUGCGCCGCCCUGACGCCAGAGCCCAUUGACCGUUGGCGUUAUCCCCGAAGCCCUGCUCCUCCGCCCUCAUCGCUCAAUCGCCGCCCAGGCAGAGCACUCCAUUGCUUCUUCCCCGGCCUUCGCGCUGCUCCCCUUCUCACUCCCGCGCCGCUUCCCUUCUCACUUUCCAGCCGCUAUAAAAGGGAAUGCGCGAGCCCCACCGGAGUCCCCUUCGCCAUUGCUGCCUUUCCGCCAUUUCUCUUGCUCCCUGCUCGAACUCCCAGCGCCACCUACUAAGUCCCUGAGGAACUCUCCUCUCCGCUCCACUCCGUUUUCCCCAAGCCACCCAGCCGCUUGCUCCUCUGCGCUGCGUAAGAGCUUAUUUGUGAUCCACAAGAAGCACUGCCGCCGCCGGAGCACUGCCGGACCUAGCCACUACUCAAAGCCUUAGCCCCUCCGCCCAAGGCUGCUUCUUCCCGACCCCAAGCUUUCCUUGUAGGAAGAAGGUAAGCUGCCGACCCCUGGUCCGCCUCGUUCGACCCCUGUCCGCUUCGCCCGACCCCUCUUAUCUGCCUGACCCCGCUUCCAUCUCGCCCGACCCUAUCUGUUCCGCGACCCUUCUCCGCCUCGCCCGAGGGUCUGCUGUAACCUUUUUCUUCAAACCAAGGGUGUAUGUGUAAAACCUGGGGACCCUUCAGCGUUGAGUCUGAGGAUCCCUAGCACACCAAAUCCUCUAGUUUAAGGGUCAGAUCAUAAGUGCCUUUCCUCCGACCCUUACCUCUUGAUCUCCACCAGCUCCCUUGAACCUUCCCACCCUCCUGCUUUGUGUCGCCAGUUUCUGGGCUUAGACUUGCAAGUGUUGCUGUUGAAAUAACCAUCUAUGCUAACUAAUGCAUUGCAUUCGUGUAGAGCUGAGCCUCGCUGACGGCUUCUACGAGCUGCACCCGGCGCCAGAAGAUGACGGUGUAGUUGAGCUCCUGCCCUCAGAAGCUGAAGCCACCCCAGAAGUCGAGCAGUUCUCUUCCUCCUUGCUCGAAGGCAAGCCCCGGUUGCAUGAAAACCCUAUGUUGUUUUACCAAACUUUAGCAUGCCUUCUUUAGCAUGCUUGUGCAUUUACGUAUAGGAGUUGUUUGGAACCCUAGAUGCAUAACGUAGCUCCCCUGAUCUGAACACUAGCUGUUGGACGGAGUAGCUGCUUGCUUAAAUAGGAAGCAGUAAAACUCGAGUGAUUUCCUGUCACUCGCGAGUUGUAGGAGUUGGUUGUCUACCUUCUGUUACAACUAUAAGGACGAUGGACGGGGCAGGGUUUUGGGUAACUCUUUGGUGGUCGGUUGAUCGCCCCGUCUAUCUAUGAAACUUGACUAAGGCCCGACAGUGGUGGUGUUCAUGAUCAAGUGUUUGAAAGUACUAACCUCAUACUUAGUAUGGGAUGAGGAAGCCUAGUACCGGAUUGAACCUAGACGUGAGCGGUCGCCCCAUUGUUCUUGGAACGGAGUUUCCCCUGCUGGAUGUCGCACGUGGUGGCAUGCGUGGUCACAGAACGGCAGAGGCCGGGUCUGUGGAACCUUGCACCAAAGGAAAUGGGCCCGACACGGGUUAGGGGAUUGAUGGGGAAGGCCGACACGGGAAGCGACCUCCGGGUGCGCGGAUGUCGUGAGGUUAGGUUCACCAUGCAUGGUUAAAGAACUCGAAUCGAUUCGUCUGCCUCUCACAGUUUGAGAGUGCUUGAUCGCUAUGUCACCUUGAGUAAAUGAGGAAUCUAAUGAUGACAUGGUUUUGUUGAUAUAUGCAUACCUUGGUUGGUUCUAUGAUUGCUUAGAAUAGGUUGCAAAACUUAGAUCGGAUAAUAAACUUAGAACCGGAGCUAAAACUUGAAAAUAGGGUUUUACUUAGUGCUUUUGGCAAACAAACCCCUUAGCCAAAAAGCCUUGCAUGUCUAGAAGUGUGGAGUAGCUUUACUCCUAUCGGUUAAGUCUUGUUGAGCUUAGUAGCUCAGCCCUGUUGUGGCUCCUGUUUUCAGGUGAAGUUGCUGCUCCCGACCUUUCUUCCACUAGCACUUGGCCACCCCAGCUCCCUCCGGGUUGGACGGUCGAGUGGGAUCCCUCCUUGUACGGCGAGGAGAGGGAUCAGUGAUGUCCCGGCUGGCCUCACCAGGGAUGUCCGACCCCGACGCUUUGCUUCCGCUAGUGGUUUUACCUUCUGUUGUUUUUCUUGAAACCUUGUAAAACUCUGAUGUUUAUUUCAUAACCAAACUAAGUGGUUAAGUUGUUAACUCGGUGGACUUGUUGU